UGCCCCAGUAACGGCGAGUGAAGCGGCAAGAGCUCAAAUUUGAAAUCUGGCCUCCCCCGGGGGUCCGAGUUGUAAUUUGCAGAGGAUGCUUCGGGCGCGGCCCCCGUCUAAGUUCCUUGGAACAGGACGUCAGAGAGGGUGAGAAUCCCGUCUUGGGCGGGCGGCCCGCGCCCGUGUGAAGCUCCUUCGACGAGUCGAGUUGUUUGGGAAUGCAGCUCUAAGCGGGUGGUAAAUUUCAUCUAAAGCUAAAUACCGGCCGGAGACCGAUAGCGCACAAGUAGAGUGAUCGAAAGGUUAAAAGCACCUUGAAAAGGGAGUUAAACAGCACGUGAAAUUGUUGAAAGGGAAGCGUUUGCGGCCAGACUCGGGGGGCGGGGUUCAGCGGGCGCUCGUCGCCCGUGCACUGCCCGCUCCCCGGGCCAGCAUCAGCUUCGACGGCCGGUCAAAGGCCCCCGGAAUGUGUCGUCUCUAGGGACGUCUUAUAGCCGGGGGUGCAAUGCGGCCCGUCGAGACUGAGGAACGCGCUCCGGCUCGGAUGC
rnacentral:rRNA from 1 species